rnacentral:lncRNA from 1 species
AUUCCAAACGGUAUGGCGAGCACUGCGCAUGCGGGAAACCCACCCUGUAAGGGAAGAAUCCUGGGAAAGAGGCAAGCCUAUGAAGUCCCAGGAUCAAGAUGGGACCAUCUAGUUGCAGGAAAACAAGCUGAGUGAGGAUUCCCACUGAUUCUAUACUAUGAUCAUACCAAUCACCUCUGAGAAGCCCAAUCACUACAACCACUAACCACAACAUAAAUCAACGUGAGGACCUGAGAGCUCGCUUGCUCCCACUCUGUCCCUAGCCCAGCCUGGUUUUUCCAUCACAUGCUUCUUAGGCAGCAGGGAGCUGAGGCAGGGGGAACAUUUAGUUCCUUUUUCAAAGACUGGGAACACUUAAAAAUAUCUCCAAGUAAGCAACCAGCAUUCAGAGGAUGCUUAUUUACACUUUGUAGGAGCCUGGUGUUGGGACUCUGGCUCCUGGAUGGCGUCAAACCUGCCCUUGGGCUUGGCCGAGGCUGGUCUGGGAGUACCAUUUGCAAAUGGCUCUUGCUUCACGGUUGCAUCUCCAUCUGGGUAAACAACCUAGCGACAGCGCUGGCUCUUCUUAAGGCUGUCUGUUAUGGACUGAACUGUGUCCCUCUCAGAUUCACUUGUUAAAGUCCUGACCCCAGUACACCUCAGAAUGUGACUGUAUAUAGAAAUAGGGCAUGUAAAGCAGUCAUGACGGUUAAGUAAGGUCAUAUGGAUUGGCUCUAGUUCAAACGUGACUGGUAUCCUUCUAAGAAGAGGAAGAGACACCAGAGCUCACUCUCUUUCCACGCACACAAUGGCCAUGUGAGCACACUGUGAGAAGAUGCCAUCCGCAAGCCAAGAAGAGAGGCCUUGGGAGAAACCAAACCUGCUGUCACCUUGAUCUUGGACUUCCAGCCUCAAGAACUGUGAGAAAAUAAAUUUCUGCUGUUUAUUCCACCC